CUUAAGGAGACUCACCUCAAGCAUUCUUCGCCAGUCCGUUAAACCUGAUGGUCUGCCUUUACCACGAGAGUCACCCGAGUCCUCAUCCGACGCGAGCAGAAGCUGAAUCCCUCACGCUCCUCAAGAACUCCGGCCACGCCUCCGCCAAGAACUCCAGCCACGCCUCCGCCAAGAACUCCAGCCACGUCGCAGUCAAAAGACUCCACGCCACUGCCGUGAGCUCCGGUCACGCCGCUGUAAGAUCUCCGUGCUCACCUUGGUCUACGAGCCGCUGUCAAGCUGCACGCCGCUCUCCCCUUCUGGAUCCGUUGGCUCAUUCAAAAUAAAUCCCCCGUACCCCCCCGGUAAAAGCCAGGCCACGGGAGGAUAAGUCAGUUGUUUCUACCCGAAAUAACUUUUGUUAUGUUCCUGUCAAGCUAUGUGUCCGGUCUAAGUGUUCUGAUUCUCAUGCCCUCAGACUCUGGUGCUGAGCAAAGCCUCAUUGAUCAUUCUUUGGUUUCCCGUCUCUCUCUCUCCCUUUAGAGCCCCUCGACAAUCCUAUCAACGCCGCCGGUUUGGGGGGGAUCAACAUCUCUCAUGCAUCACCCACCGCACGAGACCCGUGUUACUCAUCACUUCUGGUAACCAUCACGAGUAUAUUCGGUUUUUCGUCACCACAUCCCCUCACAGUCCUAUUGUUCUGGGUUAUUCGUGGCUUAAGGUCCACAACCCUCAGUUUGACUGGGCCAAGCAACGCGUUUCCAAUUGGAGUGGGUUUUGUCUGGCUAACUGCCUUCAAUCAGCUAUUCCACCCAUUCCUCUUGCUAUAAUUCCUCAGCUCGAGGACAUCGAUUUAUCAUCCGUUCCCUCUUGUUCCCACGAAUACAAAGCCGUUUUCAGUAAAAGUAAGGCGGGUUCGUUACCACCACAUCGUCCCUAUGAUUGCGCCAUAGAACUACUUCCUGGCGCUACGCUCCCCAAGGGCCACUUAUACAAUCUCUCCGGCCCUGAGAAAACCGCCAUGGAAACCUAUAUUAAUGAAGCCCUUUCCUCCGGCCAAAUUCACCCCUCCACGGCCACGGGCAUUAGCCUCGCUGGGCUACUCUCCCCCUCUGUUUCCCUCACAGGAGCUUGACCUUGCCGUUCCCUCCGUCCAGGAGCACCUUCGCUGCCAGCGCAUUUGGACCCAAACCUGAGAGGCGCUCCUACGUACCAAGGAUGCCAAUUGUCGCAUAGCCAACAGGCACAGGGUGGAGGGUCCCAUGUACCAGGUUAGGCAGAAGGUGUGGCUAUCAUCCAAGAACAUCCCCAUUCCAUCCUCGUCCCGCAAACUGUCGCCCCGGUACAUUGGGCCCUACGUCAUCGAGAGAAUAAUCAAUCCCACCUGCGUUUGCCUCCGUUAAACCUGAUGGUCUGCCUUCACCACGAGAGUCACCCGAGUCCUCAUCCGACGCGAGCAGAAGCUGAAUCCCUCACGCUCCUCAUGAAUUCCGGCCACGCCUCCGCCAAGAACUCCAGCCACGUCGCAGUCAAAAGACUCCAUUCACGCCACUGCCGUGAGCUCCGGUCACGCCGCUGUAAGAUCUCUAUGCUCACCUUGGUCUACGAGCCGCUGUCAAGCUGCACGCCGCUCUCCCCUACUGUAUCCGCUGGCUCCUUCAAAAUAAAACCAGUUACUUACCUUUUCACAUACCUGCCUCUUCCUUCCGGGUUGCAGC